GACGAACGCUGGCGGCGUGCUUAACACAUGCAAGUCGAACGGAAAGGCCCUGCUUUUGUGGGGUGCUCGAGUGGCGAACGGGUGAGUAACACGUGAGUAACCUGCCCUUGACUUUUGGAUAACUUCAGGAAACUGGGGCUAAUACCGGAUAGGAGCUCCUGCUGCAUGGUGGGGGUUGGAAAGUUUCGGCGGUUGGGGAUGGACUCGCGGCUUAUCAGCUUGUUGGUGGGGUAGUGGCUUACCAAGGCUUUGACAGGUAGCCGGCCUGAGAGGGUGACCGGCCACAUUGGGACUGAGAUACGGCCCAGACUCCUACGGGAGGCAGCAGUGGGGAAUAUUGCACAAUGGGCGGAAGCCUGAUGCAGCAACGCCGCGUGCGGGAUGACGGCCUUCGGGUUGUAAACCGCUUUCGCCUGUGACGAAGCGUGAGUGACGGUAAUGGGUAAAGAAGCACCGGCUAACUACGUG
rnacentral:rRNA from 1 species